UGCUACGGUCGUCGAGCCAGCCGCUCGGGACGUAGUCCCGGCACGGGAACCCGGUGGGAGUCCGGGACUGACGCGCAGCGGUGUGGGUGACGGACGGGACACUGUGCCACUGGGCCCUCGGGCCUGGGAAGGCGUCUCGCGCCGGUCGAUCCCGAGUCCGAAGACCUGCUGGCCCUGCAGCAGACCG
rnacentral:ncRNA from 1 species